rnacentral:rRNA from 1 species
UACGUAGGGGGCAAGCGUUGUCCGGAUUUAUUGGGCGUAAAGAGCGUGUAGGCGGCCUGAAAGGUCAGCUGUGAAAACUCGAGGCUCAACCUCGAGACGUCGGUUGAAACCAUCUGGCUAGAGUCCGGAAGAGGAGUGUGGAAUUCCCGGUGUAGCGGUGAAAUGCGCAGAUAUCUGGAAGAACACCAAUGGCGAAGGCAAUGUUCUGGCUCGUUUCUGACGCUCAGGUGCGAAAGCCAGGGGAGCGAACGGG